rnacentral:rRNA from 1 species
AUAAUUUGUUAUUAAUUUGAUUUAUAUGUAAAUUUUUGUAUGAAUAUAUAUUAAUUUUAAAAAUUAAUAUAUUUAGCAUAAUCGCAGUAAUUAAUUUUAUUAAUUAAAGAAAUUUAGAAAUAGCAAUAUUAAAAAGUAUAGAUUAAAUUGGUGCCAGCAAUCGCGGUUAUACUAAUUAUACAAAUAAAUUUUGUUAGUAAAAGUUAAAUUGGUAAAUUAUAAAAUUAAAUAAAAUUAAAUUUAUUAAGUGAAAUUUUAAAUUUAAAUUUUUUAUAAGUUGGUAAAUUGAGGCUUAAAAAUUUUAGAAAA